rnacentral:rRNA from 1 species
UACGGGGGGGGCAAGCGUUGUUCGGAAUUACUGGGCGUAAAGGGCUCGUAGGCGGCCAUCUAAGUCAGACGUGAAAUCCCUCGGCUUAACCGGGGAACUGCGUCUGAUACUGGAUGGCUUGAGUUUGGGAGAGGGAUGCGGAAUUCCAGGUGUAGCGGUGAAAUGCGUAGAUAUCGGGAAGAACACCCGUGGCGAAGGCGGUUCUCUGGGACGGUACUGACGCUGAGACGCGAAAGCGUGGGGAGCGAACAGG